AACGAACGCUGGCGGCGUGCCUAACACAUGCAAGUCGCACGAGAAAGGGGUAGCAAUACCCCCGGUAAAGUGGCGAACGGGUGAGUAACACGUGGGUAACCUGCCCUCGAGCUCGGAAUAACCCGCCGAAAGGUGGGCUAAUACCGGAUAAAGCUCCCGGACCUCCGGGACCGGGAACCAACGAUGGCCAAUGCUUGCAAGCUAUCACUUGAGGAGGGGCCCGCGGCCCAUUAGCUAGUUGGCGGGGUAACGGCCCACCAAGGCAACGAUGGGUAGCCGGCCUGAGAGGGCGAUCGGCCACAUUGGGACUGAGACACGGUCCAGACUCCUACGGGAGGCAGCAGUGAGGAAUCUUGCGCAAUGGGCGAAAGCCUGACGCAGCAACGCCGCGUGGGUGAUGAAGGCCUUCGGGUCGUAAAACCCUGUCAGGUGGGAAGAAUCGGGCGGGGGCCAAUACCUUUCGCCCCUGACUGUACCACCAGAGGAAGCCCCGGCUAACUCCGUGCCAGCAGCCGCCGUAAAAC
rnacentral:rRNA from 1 species